rnacentral:rRNA from 1 species
GAACGCGAAGAACCUUACCAGGGUCUUGACAUGCAGGCGGAUGGUUAAGAGAUUAGCCAGUCCUUCGGGACGCCUGUGCAGGUGGUGCAUGGUUGUCGUCAGCUCGUGUCGUGAGAUGUUGGGUUAAGUCCCGCAACGAGCGCAACCCCUGUAGUUAGUUGCCAGCAAGAAAGAUGGGCACUCUAGCGAGACUGCCGGUGACAAAUCGGGAGGAAGGUGGGGACGACGUCAAAUCAUCAUGGCCCCUUAUGUCCUGGGCUACACACGUACUACAAUGGGCUAUAGCAGCAGGAAGCGAAGGAGCAAUCGGAGCAAAUCCUGAAAGAUAGUCUCGGUUCAGAUUGUGGGCUGCGGCCCGCCCCAUGUGAGUCGGGAUUGGUAGGUA